GCCCCUAUAGCUCAGUGGUAGAGCGCUUCACUGUAAGUUAUAUGAUCAUAUCACCCCUUCGAAAGGCGCCAGAUAUUGACUGUUCCAGCGUAGUGUACCAUUCACAAGUGCUAUGAAGAGGUCCAUCGUUCGAACCGGUGUGGGGGCA